rnacentral:rRNA from 1 species
GAUGAACGCUGGCGGCGUGCUUAACACAUGCAAGUCGAACGAUGAAGCCCAGCUUGCUGGGUGGAUUAGUGGCGAACGGGUGAGUAACACGUGAGUAACCUGCCCUUAACUCUGGGAUAAGCCUGGGAAACUGGGUCUAAUACCGGAUAGGAGCGUCCACCGCAUGGUGGGUGUUGGAAAGAUUUAUCGGUUUUGGAUGGACUCGCGGCCUAUCAGCUUGUUGGUGAGGUAAUGGCUCACCAAGGCGACGACGGGUAGCCGGCCUGAGAGGGUGACCGGCCACACGGGGACUGGGAAACGGCCCAGACCCCUACGGGAGGCAGCAGGGGGGAAUAUUGCAAAAGGGGCGAAAGCCUGAUGCAGCGACCCCGGGGGGGGGAUGACGGCCUUCGGGUUGUAAACCUCUUUCAGGGGGGAAGAAGCGAAAGUGACGGUACCUGCAGAAGAAGCACCGGCUAACUACGU